AUGAACGCUAGCUACAGGCUUAACACAUGCAAGUCGAGGGGCAGCAUCAUCAAAGCUUGCUUUGAUGGAUGGCGACCGGCGCACGGGUGAGUAACACGUAUCCAACCUGCCGACAACACUGGGAUAGCCUUUCGAAAGAAAGAUUAAUGCCGGAUGGCAUAAUUAUUCCGCAUGGGAUAAUUAUUAAAGAAUUUCGGUUGUCGAUGGGGAUGCGUUCCAUUAGGCAGUUGGCGGGGUAACGGCCCACCAAACCUACGAUGGAUAGGGGUUCUGAGAGGAAGGUCCCCCACAUUGGAACUGAGACACGGUCCAAACUCCUACGGGAGGCAGCAGUGAGGAAUAUUGGUCAAUGGACGAGAGUCUGAACCAGCCAAGUAGCGUGAAGGAUGACUGCCCUAUGGGUUGUAAACUUCUUUUAUACGGGAAUAAAGUGAGCCACGUGUGGCUUUUUGUAUGUACCGUAUGAAUAAGGAUCGGCUAACUCCGUGCCAGCAGCCGCGGUAAUACGGAGGAUUCGAGCGUUAUCCGGAUUUAUUGGGUUUAAAGGGAGCGUAGGCGGGUUGUUAAGUCAGUUGUGAAAGUUUGCGGCUCAACCGUAAAAUUGCAGUUGAUACUGGCGACCUUGAGUGCAACAGAGGUAGGCGGAAUUCGUGGUGUAGCGGUGAAAUGCUUAGAUAUCACGAAGAACUCCGAUUGCGAAGGCAGCUUACUGGAUUGUAACUGACGCUGAUGCUCGAAAGUGUGGGUAUCAAACAGGAUUAGAUACCCUGGUAGUCCACACAGUAAACGAUGAAUACUCGCUGUUGGCGAUAUACAGUCAGCGGCCAAGCGAAAGCAUUAAGUAUUCCACCUGGGGAGUACGCCGGCAACGGUGAAACUCAAAGGAAUUGACGGGGGCCCGCACAAGCGGAGGAACAUGUGGUUUAAUUCGAUGAUACGCGAGGAACCUUACCCGGGCUUAAAUUGCAACUGACGGAACCGGAAACGGUUCUUUCUUCGGACAGUUGUGAAGGUGCUGCAUGGUUGUCGUCAGCUCGUGCCGUGAGGUGUCGGCUUAAGUGCCAUAACGAGCGCAACCCUUACGGGUAGUUACCAUCAGGUUAUGCUGGGGACUCUACCCGGACUGCCGUCGUAAGAUGUGAGGAAGGUGGGGAUGACGUCAAAUCAGCACGGCCCUUACGUCCGGGGCUACACACGUGUUACAAUGGGGGGUACAGAAGGCAGCUACACGGCGACGUGGUGCUAAUCCCAAAAGCCUCUCUCAGUUCGGAUUGGAGUCUGCAACCCGACUCCAUGAAGCUGGAUUCGCUAGUAAUCGCGCAUCAGCCACGGCGCGGUGAAUACGUUCCCGGGCCUUGUACACACCGCCCGUCAAGCCAUGAAAGCCGGGGGUACCUGAAGUACGUAACCGCGAGGAGCGUCCUAGGGUAAAACUGGUGAUUGGGGCU
rnacentral:rRNA from 1 species